AACGAACGCUGGCGGCAUGCCUAACACAUGCAAGUCGAACGAUCCCUUCGGGGAUAGUGGCGCACGGGUGCGUAACGCGUGGGAAUCUGCCCUUGGGUUCGGAAUAACAGUGAGAAAUUACUGCUAAUACCGGAUGAUGUCUUCGGACCAAAGAUUUAUCGCCCAAGGAUGAGCCCGCGUAGGAUUAGGUAGUUGGUGGGGUAAUGGCCUACCAAGCCGACGAUCCUUAGCUGGUCUGAGAGGAUGAUCAGCCACACUGGGACUGAGACACGGCCCAGACUCCUACGGGAGGCAGCAGUGGGGAAUAUUGGACAAUGGGCGAAAGCCUGAUCCAGCAAUGCCGCGUGAGUGAUGAAGGCCUUAGGGUUGUAAAGCUCUUUUACCCGGGAUGAUAAUGACAGUACCGGGAGAAUAAGCUCCGGCUAACUCCGUGCCAGCCGCCGCGGUAACAC
rnacentral:rRNA from 1 species